rnacentral:rRNA from 1 species
ACGAAGGGUGCAAGCGUUAAUCGGAAUAACUGGGCGUAAAGCGCGCGUAGGUGGUUAAUCAAGUUGGAUGUGAAAUCCCUGGGCUCAACCUAGGAACUGCAUCCAAAACUGGCUAACUAGAGUACAAUAGAGGUUAGUGGAAUUUCCUGUGUAGCGGUGAAAUGCGUAGAUAUAGGAAGGAACACCAGUGGCGAAGGCGACUAACUGGAUUGAUACUGACACUGAGGUGCGAAAGCGUGGGGAGCAAACAGG